CGGAAGCCGGGUUACGGU
rnacentral:snRNA from 1 species